rnacentral:rRNA from 1 species
AGGGUUCGAUUCUGGCUCAGAUUGAACGCUGGCGGGAUGCUUACACAUGCAAGUCGAACGGCAGCACGGACUUCGGUCUGGUGAGCGAGUGGCGAACGGGUGAGUAAUGUAUCGGAACGUGCCUAGUAGCGGGGGAUAACUACGCGAAAGCGUAGCUAAUACCGCAUACGCCCUUCGGGGAAAGCGGGGGACCUUCGGGCCUCGCACUAUUAGAGCGGCCGAUAUCGGAUUAGCUAGUUGGUGGGGUAACGGCUCACCAAGGCGACGAUCCGUAGCUGGUUUGAGAGGACGACCAGCCACUGGGACUGAGACACGGCCCAGACUCCUGCAGGAGGCAGCAGUGAAAUUUUGGACAAUGGGGAAACCCUGAUCCAGCCAUCCCGCGUGUGCGAUGAAGGCCUUCGGGUUGUAAAGCACUUUUGGCAGGAAAGAAACGGCACAGGAUAAUACCCCGUGCAACUGACAGUACCUGCAGAAUAAGCACCGGCUAACUACGUGCCAGCAGCCGCGGUAAUACGUAGAGGGUGCAAGCGUUAAUCAGGAGUACUGGGCGUAAAGCGUGCGCAGGCGGUUCGGAGAGAGAAAGAUGUGAAAUCCCAGAGCUUAACUUUGGAACUGCAUUUUUAACUACCGAGCUAGAGUGUGUCAGAGGGAGGUGGAAUUCCGCGUGUAGCAGUGAAAUGCGUAGAUAUGCGGAGGAACACCGAUGGCGAAGGCAGCCUCCUGGGAUAACACUGACGCUCUCGUGCACGAAAGCGUGGGGAGCAAACAGGAUUAGAUACCCUGGUAGUCCACGCCCUAAACGAUGUCAACUAGCUGUUGGGGCCUUCGGGCCUUGGUAGCGCAGCUAACGCGUGAAGUUGACCGCCUGGGGAGUACGGUCGCAAGAUUAAAACUCAAAGGAAUUGACGGGGACCCGCACAAGCGGUGGAUGAUGUGGAUUAAUUCGAUGCAACGCGAAAAACCUUACCUACCCUUGACUGUCUGGAAUCCCGAAGAGAUUUGGGAGUGCUCGCAAGAGAACCGGAACACAGGUGCUGCAUGGCUGUCGUCAGCUCGUGUCGUGAGAUGUUGGGUUAAGUCACAACAGGCGCAACCCUUGUCGUGGAUUGCUACGAAAGGGCACUCUAAUGAGACUGCCGGUGACAAACCGGAGGAAGGAGUGGGGAUGACGUCAAGUCCUCAUGGCCCUUAUGGGUAGGGCUUCACACGUCAUACAAUGGUCAGGACAGAGGGGUCGCCAACCCGCGAGAGGCCAAUCCCAGAAACCCGAUCCUUGGUCGGAUCGCAGUCUGCAACUCGACUGCGUGAAGUCGGAAUCGCUAGUAAUCGCGGAUCAGCAUGUCGCGGUGAAUACGUUCCCGGGUCUUGUACACACCGCCCGUCACACCAUGGGGUGGGUUUUGCCAAGUAGUUAGCCUAACCGUAAGGAGGGCGUUCCACCACGGUAGGAUUCAUGA